AGUCAGCAGUGGAAGAGGGCGUAGCUUUGAUUGCUCAAGUUGCCCUCUUCUAUCUUUCUCUUUUUGUUGUUCGGCUCGAUAGAAUUGUUU
rnacentral:tRNA from 10 species